rnacentral:rRNA from 1 species
UACGUAGGGAGCAAGCGUUGUCCGGAAUCAUUGGGCGUAAAGCGCGCGUAGGUGGCUUCGUAAGUCCGUUGUGAAAGUCAAAGGCUCAACCUUUGAAAGCCGAUGGAUACUGCGGAGCUAGAGUACGGAAGAGGCGAGUGGAAUUCCUGGUGUAGCGGUGGAAUGCGCAGAUAUCAGGAGGAACACCAAUAGCGAAGGCAGCUCGCUGGGACGUUACUGACACUGAGGUGCGAAAGCGUGGGUAGCAAACAGG